rnacentral:tRNA from 1 species
GCCACCAUAGCUCAGAUGGUAGAGCAAUCGCCUUGUAAGCGAUGGGUCAUCGGUUCGAUUCCGAUUGGUGGCU